rnacentral:rRNA from 1 species
AUUGAACGCUAGCGGGAUGCCUUACACAUGCAAGUCGAACGGAGUGGCGAACGGGUGAGUAAUGCAUCGGAACGUGCCCAGUAGCGGGGGAUAACUACGCGAAAGCGUAGCUAAUACCGCAUACUAUUGGAGCGGCCGAGAUCGGAAUAGCUAGUUGGUGGGGUAACGGCGCACCAAGGCGACGAUCCGUAGCUGGCUUGAGAGGACGACCAGACACACUGGGACUUAGACACGGCCCAGAAGCCUACGGGAGGCAGCAGUGGGGAAUUUUGGACAAUGGGGGAAACCCUGAUCCAGCCAUCCCGCGUGUGCGAAGAAGGCCGUCGGGUUGUAAAGUACUUUUGGCAGGAAAGCGGUACCUGCAGAAUAAGCACCGGCUAACUACGUGCCAGCAGCCGCGGUAAUUC